rnacentral:snRNA from 1 species
AGCUUUGCACACUGGCAGUAUCAUAGCCAAUGAGGUUUAUCCGAGGCGCAAUUAUUGAUAAUUGAAAACAUUUUCUAUUAAUAUGUUUUUAGAUAUGAGUAUCUUUUUAUUUAUCUUGCUUUUAACCUGUUUGGAUUCUUGAACUGGGAUUCGUAUUUUUCACCAGUUCUCAAUAAC